GUGUUAGUAGUUUAGUUGGAAACGUCAGAUUGUGGAUCUGAAGAUCGGGAGUUCAAGUCUCCUCUAACACC
rnacentral:tRNA from 1 species